GAUGAAGAACGCAGCGAAAUGCGAUAAGUAAUGUGAAUUGCAGAAUUCAGUGAAUCAUCGAAUCUUUGAACGCACAUUGCGCCCGCCAGUAUUCUGGCGGGCAUGCCUGUUCGAGCGUCAUUACAACCCUCAGGCCCCCGGGCCUGGCGUUGGGGAUCGGCGGAGCCCCCCGUGGGCACACGCCGUCCCCCAAAUACAGUGGCGGUCCCGCCGCAGCUUCCAUCGCGUAGUAGCUAACACCUCGCGACUGGAGAGCGGCCCGGCCACGCCGUAAAACACCCAACUCUUCUGAAGUUGACCUCGAAUCAGGUAGGAAUACCCGCUGAACUUAAGCAUAUCAAUAAGCGGAGGA
rnacentral:misc_RNA from 1 species